GACAAGUGGAGGAAGAACAGAAGAGGAGAGUGUGUCUCUCUAAAGCCUGGUGGCCUUUUCCAUGGAAUUCAGGGAAGAUUCUUCUGACAGACCAGCCCUAGAUAUGUUAUGGAAUAAGAAGGACACAUGUGCAAGCACUGAACACUGUGAUGGCUUUGGGAUGUGCUAACCUGAUCUGCUGACUCACCUCAUUGGCAUGAAGCAGCAGCUGGGGCUGCUGCUGCUCUUUCCUUCCUGACUGCCUGCCCUGCGGACUGCGGGAUUAGGAAGCCUGCUCCUGCAACUGUACAAGCCCAACACAAUUCGGGAGAUGUGCUUGGAACUUCAAUCUGACAGUGCCUAUAGAAGGUGGUGGUACUGGGAAUCAACUGAGUGCCUGGGCAGUUGUUACUGAAGCUACCGUCACAUCCCAAAUGCUUAGAGGCAGAGGAGAUCCUGAGGUGCAGGCUGGUCAGUCACGUCCCCGAGCACGGGGAUGUGGCGAGUAAUCACACUGGAGCUCACGCUGCCAUCUUACCCUUUCUUCCUGCCCCCUUCCUCCACAACUCGCUGUGGCCCCCACUCUUCAGAUGGAGUUCUGUGGGGGGGCCCUACCACCCUCCUGCGC